rnacentral:rRNA from 1 species
UUAAGUCCCGCAACGAGCGCUAACCCCUAUUGUUAGUUGCCAUCAUUCAGUUGGGCACUUUUAGCGAGACUGCCGGUAAUAACCGGAGGAAUGUGGGGAUGACGUCAAAUCAUCAUGCCCCUUAUGACCUGGGCUACACACGUGCUACAAUGGUUGGUACAACGAGUUGCGGGUCGGUGACGGCGAGCUAAUCUCUUAAAGCCAAUCUCAGUUCGGAUUGUAGGCUGCAACUCGCCUACAUGAAGUCGGAAUCGCUAGUAAUCGCGGAUCAGCACGCCGCGGUGAAUACGUUCCCGGGCCUU